rnacentral:lncRNA from 1 species
UCCCAAUGGAAGUUUUUUUCUUACCCAUUAUUUUUCUUAUCAUGACUAUUAAAGCCUGAUUAGCCACACGUUGCGUUUUUCCCAUACAACCGAAAUCUUCAAACCCAGUAACAUUAUCAUGAAUUGAAUUGUAAGUCAAAAAUGGUGUAAUUGAAAUUUCAUCAAUAAUUAUUGUAUAAUAUUGAAGACUUUUAAUCCGUUUAUUUCUUAAACAUCCUACCCGGUAAUGUUGCAAUAACAUUGUUGUUAAUGCCAAGUACUAUAUGCAAAGAAGAAAUGUAUUUCUGAAGUGUUCUUACUGUUGGCAAAUGGAAUAAUUUUUGUAGGGUAUUAUAACAACUUCUGGACUUGCAUAAGAGAUUAUAAGACAAAACUUUUUCUUCAACGGUUAUGCCACGCUUGCUCGAAUGUCGCUUGCCCGAUCCCCGGUUGCUGGAGUCUUGCUUGCCUGAUUCCCACUUGCCCGAGUCCCAUUUGCCUGAUGCCCAUUUGCUCGAUUCCCAGUUUCCCGAACCCGUUUGCCCGAUUCCCACUUGCUCAAGUGCUGUUGUCUGGUUCCCAAUUGCUCAGGUCUCAUUUUCCCUAGUUCCUGUCUGCCCGAAGCUGUCUUUUCCUUGAGUCCCAUUUGCCCGAGUGUUGGG